CUAGAUCAAAGGUUCCCAAACUCCCUUGGUGUCUACAGGAUGCACAUAGGACUUCUCCUUUGUAUUCUGACCCUCAGCUGACCUGCUGAGCCCAGCUGCCCUCCUUACAGCCGCACAGUUCAAGUCUGGAAUCUGCUGAGCUUUGCGUCCUGGCUCUGUCAGAAGACGCUGAUGUCACUCAGGUGCAAGGCCAUCAGGGGCACCUGGCAUUCUCCACUCACUUCCGGUUGACAUUCUGUCACACAGAAAGGACCCGCUGGUCACCGAUGAGGAUUCCGUAAAAAGUUAGGGGGCAAGAUGAAAAGAUGCAAGUAGCAUAUGGUGGAAGAAAGCCAUUUAUGCUAUGACCGAG
rnacentral:lncRNA from 1 species